rnacentral:rRNA from 1 species
GACAGAGGGUGCAAACGUUGUUCGGAAUUACUGGGCGUAAAGCGCACGUAGGCGGCUUUGCAAGUUAGAGGUGAAAGCCCGGGGCUCAACCCCCGGAAUUGCCUUUAAAACUGCAUCGCUAGAAUUGUGGAGAGGUAAGUGGAAUUCCGAGUGUAGAGGUGAAAUUCGUAGAUAUUCGGAAGAACACCAGUGGCGAAGGCGACUUACUGGACACAUAUUGACGCUGAGGUGCGAAAGCGUGGGGAGCAAACAGG